GAACAAGUUUGGGAACCACUGGUCUAGAUAAUUAGUCCUGCCAUGAGUGCAGGGGCCUGGUCCCUUCCAGUCCUGCGGUUGUAUGUGACUGGAGUCCUAGGGCAUCUCUCUCUGUGCAGGAGGGGCCUCUCUGGGGCUUUCUCCCUGGAUUUAAUCACGGUAAAAGACUAAAUAGCAAGAGAACGUGUUCCUGUUUUGUAUGUGGCUGAAAGAAGGGCAGGCUGAGUGAUUUCCGGGGUUGUGAGUCAUAAAAGGUAAAGUAGCAGAGGAUGGUUUCGAUCCAUCGACCUCUGGGUUAUGGGCCCAGCACGCUUCCGCUGCGCCACUCUGCUGAGUGGUUUGGUUUCCCUCGGACAUGUUCAGCAGACUUGGCUUUGUUCAUGGGAGCCUGUGAUUGUGCACUGGAGAGAGGGAGAGCUCACAAGGGACUGUUGCAGUCAUUUCAGAAGGUCAUUUUGCAUGGAUUCUUAUCUACUGCCAGAUAAUGAACGGAAAUCUGAGAGCUGCAUUCGUCUCUGCUGUUCGCUUGAGGCUAAUCGUUUGGCAAAAACAUCCUCCCCCCCUCCCCCCGGCUUUUCUGUGGGCAAGAUCCAGUCCGUUUGCUGCAACCCUGGCGCUUAAAAUGUGAAUAGUUUUUACAGCAUUUAUUAUGACACAUUUAACAUUUGUCCUUCAUCUCACAGGCGCGGACCCCUUUGGAAAUCUUAGACUUGGUCGGCAGAUCCCCUGCAGAUCACUGGUUGAAAACCGUGAUAAGGACAACCUUUGGUGGACCCCUCCAAGGUAGUCUGCAGACCCCCAGGACAAAGCAGCGCUUCUCUAUCUACGGCCAGGUCUUCUCUGCAAAGCGUUUUCACUAAAGGGUUGCGUCCCCGUGUCCUCCAGAGGGCCGCUUCCGGCGAAGGAAGCUGACUGCUCCACCGACAUAAUCAUUCCACCUCCAGAAGAGACGCCCAAACUCUCAAAACUGAUUUAACUACCCCCGUGCUUGGUUUUUUGUUUUUUUUUUUUGAGAAACCGUACCAAAACCAUCCCUCGGGCUUCCAAGUCUUUCAUCCAAAAAUGCAUCCUGAGGGAAAAAUCUGUGCCCAAAA